AUGAACGCUAGCUACAGGCUUAACACAUGCAAGUCGAGGGGCAGCAUGGUCUUAGCUUGCUAAGGCCGAUGGCGACCGGCGCACGGGUGAGUAACGCGUAUCCAACCUGCCUUACACUCUUGGACAGCCUUCUGAAAGGGAGAUUAAUACAAGAUGUUAUCAUGAGUAAGCAUUUUCGCAUGAUUAAAGGUUUACCGGUGUAAGAUGGGGAUGCGUUCCAUUAGAUAGUAGGCGGGGUAACGGCCCACCUAGUCUUCGAUGGAUAGGGGUUCUGAGAGGAAGGUCCCCCACAUUGGAACUGAGACACGGUCCAAACUCCUACGGGAGGCAGCAGUGAGGAAUAUUGGUCAAUGAACGAGAGUCUGAACCAGCCAAGUAGCGUGAAGGAUGAAGGUUCUAUGGAUUGUAAACUUCUUUUAUACGGGAAUAAACGAAUCCACGCGUGGAUUUUUGCAUGUACCGUAUGAAUAAGGAUCGGCUAACUCCGUGCCAGCAGCCGCGGUAAUACGGAGGAUCCGAGCGUUAUCCGGAUUUAUUGGGUUUAAAGGGAGCGUAGAUGGGUUGUUAAGUCAGUUGUGAAAGUUUGCGGCUCAACCGUAAAAUUGCAAUUGAUACUGGCAGUCUUGAGUACAGUUGAGGUAGGCGGAAUUCGUGGUGUAGCGGUGAAAUGCUUAGAUAUCACGAAGAACUCCGAUUGCGAAGGCAGCUUACUAACCUGUAACUGACAUUGAUGCUCGAAAGUGUGGGUAUCAAACAGGAUUAGAUACCCUGGUAGUCCACACGGUAAACGAUGAAUACUCGCUGUAGGCGAUAUACGGUCUGCGGCCAAGCGAAAGCAUUAAGUAUUCCACCUGGGGAGUACGCCGGCAACGGUGAAACUCAAAGGAAUUGACGGGGGCCCGCACAAGCGGUGGAGCAUGUGGUUUAAUUCGAAGCAACGCGAAGAACCUUACCAGGUCUUGACAUCCUACUAACGAGAUAGAGAUAUGUUAGGUGCCCUUCGGGGAAAGUAGAGACAGGUGGUGCAUGGUUGUCGUCAGCUCGUGUCGUGAGAUGUUGGGUUAAGUCCCGCAACGAGCGCAACCCUUAUUGUUAGUUGCCAUCAUUUAGUUGGGCACUCUAGCAAGACUGCCGGUGACAAACCGGAGGAAGGUGGGGAUGACGUCAAAUCAGCACGGCCCUUACGUCCGGGGCUACACACGUGUUACAAUGGGGGGUACAGAGGGCUGCUACCACGCAAGUGGAUGCCAAUCCCAAAAACCUCUCUCAGUUCGGAUUGAAGUCUGCAACCCGACUUCAUGAAGCUGGAUUCGCUAGUAAUCGCGCAUCAGCCACGGCGCGGUGAAUACGUUCCCGGGCCUUGUACACACCGCCCGUCAAGCCAUGGGAGCCGGGGGUACCUGAAGUGCGUAACCGCAAGGAGCGCCCUAGGGUAAAACUGGUGACUGGGGCU
rnacentral:rRNA from 1 species